GUGAAUGGUCAGCAUGGAUGCCUUCCAAGCAUUCGACGGGGGUUCGAUUCCCCC
rnacentral:tRNA from 1 species